GCAGGCAUCACUUUCGAUUUUAAUCUUAUGUAGUCGUUCCAUGUGUUUGGAUUUAUCAUUCGGAUUUGUGUGUUAGAUAGAUCUCACAAGAUUUCACUUUUGAUUUUAUUGUUUGAUUAAGUUGUUUGAAUGUGUUAUAGGAUCGAAGAUUGAAGAUCCAGCUUUUUUUCCAUUAAUCGCCGGUUCCAUUUGAAUCCUAAAACUUAUGUUUUUUUGGGGAUACGGCAUAAGGCGGCGAUAGAUCAUGUGUUUCAUUAUAUGAUCGUCACUGAAGGGGUGAAGGGUUUGUGACUGCAGGAACCCAAUUUUUUCGUGAAUGAAUUUUUUUUUUGCAGUCAAUCAAAAUAUCAUGGAAUUCUUUACGACUACUGUGAAAGCAAUGGAUCGGUAAGC